rnacentral:lncRNA from 1 species
CUUUUCCCGCACCGGUGGCCGGACUCUGCAUGAGUCACCGCCUGCCUGCAAGCCCAGAGCUCGCCGCACCCCCCUGCCUCUCCGCACCGUCCCACAGGCUGUGACCCUCCACCCAGCCAUAGACGGUUCUGCUCUUGGCACAAAGGAGGGCUUCUUAGCCGGGAAUAUGGCUGCCCGGGAGGGGCGACUUCUGUGCUUGUUUUUCCUUCCUGGCACUGAAAACAAGCACAUCCACCCAACAAAUAAAGACGCGGUCAAUGAAAGCAGCUGUGUUUCAAGGGGAGACAGGGAGCAAGCCAAGGAAUAAAUGAAAAGACCCAGUGACAAAAUGCCCAUUCAUCGGGUUCACUCGGCAAACAUUUACUGAAGCAUCUGUGUGCCAGGCACUGUCCUGAGUGCUGGGAAGACACAAAGAUGCCCUUCAGAACGAUGACCCCCGCCUCGCCCUCCGCUGGAACCGGGAGGCAGACACACACAUAAAUACGACACAGUCAACCGUCCCCAGUUCACAGCAUCUAAAGGAGCUAGGAAUGCAUGGGAUGCUUAUGGAAUGUGCGAGAACACGGAGACAAAGUCUCACUGUGUUCCCAGGCUGAUCCCCAACUCCUGAGCUCAAGCCAGCCACCAGCCUUGGCCUCCCAAAGUGCUGGGAUUACAGGCGUGAGCCACCACGCCGGGCCCAGAUGAACAGACUUCAUGGCUGAGACAGAGCUGAGAGCAGAGAAAACAGACUCAUAAAAUCCUGGCAGAAUCUUUCCAUUCUAAUAGCUCAAGCUUCCCCUAUUGCACAGAAGAAAUGCAAGCCUCUUCCCUUCUGGAAUCGCACCAUGGGCAGUACUCCAGAGAGUGGAAACUCUCUGACACCAAACAAGGGACAAUUCAAGAAUAAAUGGCACCUGAGUCCCAGGAGGGCAAAGCAGAGUGAGAAAAGAAUUAGUGAGUGAUGUGGAAAGGACAACAUCCUUUCAUCCCAGAGUCAAAGCCCCGGCAAGCCUCCAGGCCUCAGCGCUCCCUCUGUCUUACAGCACAAAAACACCUUUUGUGGAUGGGAAAGGACUCAGGACGUGAUCAGACUGGCCUGCUGAGAGUAUCAUAGGGAAGUGCUGGAUGGGUUCAUGGAAAGAAGUAUACACAGAUGAGGAACAGCAGAAAGGCAUGAGAAAAGAGGAAGGUAUGGAAAAGAGUGAAAUUGGCAUAAAAAAUCCAAUAAAGGGCAACGAGCAGGAAACAACAAAAACAUGGGAAACUGCCGACCUGAGGAAUCGCGCUCUUCUAACUUUACAGCUUCACCUGCCGUGUUUGCUCCUGGAGGACUGAGACUUUUGUCUGAUUCGUCUGCUGCUGUCUUCCCGAUGCCUAGAACACUGCCUGAUGCACGGGAAGUAUUUGUCAGAUACAUCCCAUGGCUUCUAAUGCCAUUUGCAAGGAUGAAAGCUGGGUGUGCCCGGCUGUACGGCAAUACUUCCAAAGGCCUGUAGGACUCCCCAGUGACUGUCCCAUUCACCAGGAGGAGGACUGCAGUCACCUGCAUUGUCCUGGGAAGGUCAGCCAGGCCUUUUCCCAAUGUCUGUCUGGGAAAAGCCCCGGUGUAGUCUGCUCGGUCCUACACCCAGAAUCACGGGGGCUUCAGGAGCAGGCAUUACGAGGCAAGGAGUAGCUUCUCCCCCUCACCUCCCACUCAGCAGAACGCACUAGCCCUGUGCUCUUCUGAUCCUGAAGGCAGCUGAGUCUGAAAAGUUCCUGUACCUUUAAAGGUACUAGAGGCAGUGUGGUGCCCACUCAGGAACUGCAUGAUUUAAAUAGGUUUCUAGGAUAAAGGCAACUCGUAGCACAAAGGAACAAGUCCCAGGGAGUGGCAUUCCAGAUCAUUUGAUUCCUGAGCGAAGGAAUUAUUAUGGUGUGGAGGUGGGGACCUCCUUACUACAUUCCAAAUUGCAAUAAGGUUGUAAGGGUUUUCUCUUCCAUUCUGAAGUACUUUGACAAUAGUUUUGAACUUCAAAAAUGUUUAUUAAAGGUGUUUUCACAGCAGUUUCAUAAUGUUUAAUUUGUUAAUUACUGGAAUUGAUGCUAAAUAAAACAGGCAAGUAAUACUUCAGAUGGCUUCAUCUUCAGAGUCUUCUUCAUGUGUGACUCAAAAUGCACAAUUUUGGCCGGGCACAGUGGCUCACGCCUGUAAUCCCAGCACUUUGGGAGGCUGAGACAGGCGGAUCACCUGAGGUCAGGAGUUUGAGACCAGUUUGGCCAACAUGGUGAAACCCCAUCUCUACUAAAAAUACAAAAAUUAGAUGGGCAUGGUGGUGUGUGCCUGUAAUCCCAGCUGCUUGGGAAGCUGAGGCAGGAGAAUUGAUUGAACCCAAGAGGCGGGGCUUGCAGUGAGCCGAGAUCCCGCUCCAGCCUGGGCAACAAGAGCGAGACUCCGUCUCAAAAAAAGAAAAAAAAAGCACAAUUUCAGGACAGCCUAAGCAAAUAAAAAAUGGGAAAUGGAAAUGGAUUCGAAGCAGGGAGGACGUUCCGCCCACUGUCACACCGAAGGAAUGGUGGAGGCUGUGAGUCCUCCGCCCACUGUCACACCGAAGGAUGGUGGAGGCUGUGAGUCCUCCUGUAAGCCGCCGCUGGAGAAGGGGCAGCUCUGGAACCUGACGACAUUCUCCUAUCUUGCAUGAGGUGGAGACAAAGAGUCCUUCUGCGCUGGGACAGGAUGAGGGCGAAGUGGUGACUUCAGGUCAGAAGCAGAGCCUUGGGGACCUCUGAUUCUCAAGGGCGAGCUCCCUCCAGAACCCCAAGAGAUGGCCCUGACUGCAUGGGAAAGCGUGUCUCACCAUUGCAAUGUUCUCUAAGUCUGGAGGAGGCGGAGCCCAGUGAGAAUGACAGGCAGACCGCAAGGAGGCCCGGAAGCCCCCCAUGGCGAGGAUGCAUCCAAGUGUAUUCUGUAGGAGUGACCAGUGGCCACGUGGGUAGUGGGCAGAGCUUGUUUUCCUCCAAUAUCAGCGUACAGAGCAGGGGAGCCUGGUGAAGGUUUCUCUCUGAAAUCAUGGAUUCAGCUGUAUUAGUUUCUAUCCAAGGCUGGCAUAGCUCACCUUCCACUCCAGCAAUGACCUCGGGCCAGCUGUCACGAGCCUUCUCACCACGAGGAUGGUCUGGGGUGGUGAGAUCUCACUGUUGGCCAUAAUUCAUUCAACAUUUCUUCACUUCUCUGCUUAAUUUUGGUCGAAUGUCAUGC